GGGGGAGGGGGGUCAUACCUGCAGCAUGUAGAAUUUCCAGGGCCAGGGAUCAAAUCCUCGCCAUAGCAGUUACCAGAGCCACAGUAGUGACAACUCCAGGUCAUUACCCACUGUGCCACCAGGGAACUCCAUUUUCUGAAUUUUUAAAUCUUGCCAACUGAUAUGAAUUUUCAAAACCACUGUGUGGGCCAAAUGAAACUUGCUCUGUUUUGUUUUUGUUUUUUAGGACUGUACCAGCAAGUUUCCAGGAUAGGGGUUGAAUAGGAGCUACAGCUGCUGGCCUACACCACAGCCACAGCAACACAGGAUCUGAGCAUCAUCUGCGACCUACACCACAUCUCACAGCAACGCCAGAUCCCUGACCAUUGAGAGAGGCCAGGGAUCAAACCCGCACCCUCAUGGAUACUAGUCAGAUUCAUUUCCUCUCUGCCGCAACAGGAACUCCUACGUUGCUGUGGCUGUGGCUGUGGCUAUGGGUGUGGCGUAGACUGGCAGCUGCAGGUCUAAUUUGACCCCUACCCUGGGAAAUUCCUUAUGCUACAGGUACAGCUGAAAAAAGAAAAAAAUUAAUAAAAUCUUAAAAAUAAACUGAAUAGUUUCCCCUUGGCAAGGCUCAGGUGUGGAUGUUUCUACACCAAAGGAUAGACUUGAUUAUCUCAAAAUCCUUAGGAAUCACCUAAGUCACCCAUAAUUUAAAAAAACCACAUUUGAAAAGUGAGGACCAGAGAAGUAAAGGGACCAUACAUACUUGCAAGCAGGUUGGUUGCAGAGCUGAGCCCUGCAACUUCAUCUUAGAAACUUGUUUUCUGCUAUAACAGCCGCUCCCUAUGAAUCUUCCAAGCAGAUACAAAUGACCACUGAUUGCAACAGACUGCUUCUUGCUGCAGCCAAGCAAACACGAGAUGUGUGGUGACCACAAAUGGUCAGCCCUGCUGGAGAGCAUGCCUAAUAAGAAGACUCACCCAAAAUAAACAAAAUACAAGGGGAUUUGGGAUUCCUAAAUGUCACAGCAAGGCAAAUUCCAGCCUCUUGUAACUUUAUGCGAUGUUGUAAUUAACAAUAAAUAUGCAAGCCUGGGCACUCCCCCAGGUAAAGAUUUCAUGGUCUCUCCUGCUGUGACAGGCCAUUAGUUAGGAUAAUUAGGCCAUGUAUGCAUCUCUCCUUGUAUUGCCUUCUCACAGUGGGCAGGGCGGAGGGGAAAGUGGCGUAGGGCACUCUAAGCCCUGAGCCAUGAGCCAUGUUCAGGCCCGGAGGCGAGGGUAGGAGUCCCCCUGGCACUUAUAAGAGAGGGUCCCCGGACACCCCCAAGCGCUUCAGGCUGCAGUCAGCAAGCCUCACUAGUUAGCACUGACAGGCCAUGAGUCAUCCUUCCAACUUGAAUGAGGCUCAUUAUUCACAACGAGGAGCCAGAGUGCCAGUUGGCAUGGCUGGAAAUAAAUAUAUCCGAGUGUUGUCAGCAAUGUCAUCUCAACUCCUACUCUGAAAAAUUUCAGAUGCGUCCCACCUCCCUGUGGCCGGUGAGCACUGGGUAGCAUAAAGCAGAAGGCUUGGUUUGACUCUUUGGGACCAGGAAUGGAGGUGGUGGGGCCCAUUCUGAAGGGUCCUGAGGCCUGGAGACGCUGUGGAAAGGAAAGUGCCCAGCAGAGGGCCCACCAGCCCAGGCGUGCAGAGAAGAGCCCCAGGCCACUCUAGGACAGUAACCUCAGGACUUGGAAGCGUCGAUGAACUUGUGAUUGAAUUGGGGUUCUGUUACCUAUGGGUUUGGACAACUUACUCUAAUGUCACUUUCCUCAUCUGCAGAAUGAGCAGAGGAAUGACAUCUUACUAUCCACCUAGAAGGACAGUGUCUGCACCACCCGGGGUGUCAAAUAUUGAUUAUUGCUCAUCGAAAUACUCCUUAGAUAUAACCAGCAUUUUAUCAUCUAGAUAACACUAUUUGCCUGAUCCUUCCUUCUGGUCCACCUUGAAUGUUUCCUUGGGUUAAGUCUAUCUGUGUAGAAAGUAUGAAAAAGAAGAAUAAAUGUAAAUAAUACCUGCUGAAUGCGUAUCGCCUGCCACAUUCCAUUCUAACACUGUCUAUAUGCCAACCCCCAUGAGGUCUUAUAGAUGCUGCAGCUGAGGCACAGAGGAAGGUAAUUGAUCUCCUUGACCUGUCACACGUCCAGCGAGUGGCUGUGCCAAGAUUCGAGCCCAGGCAGCCCUCCCCCGGAGCUAUUCCCCAAAACGCUUCCACCUCUUACAUGACAGAGAUCCCUUUCCUUUUCUCUCCCUCAUUCCCCUGCAGCGGAUUUCAUGGACAGGUAUCUUG
ensembl:lncRNA